CUACGGGUUGCAGCAGUCGAGAAUCUUCGGCAAUGGACGCAAGUCCGACCGAGCGACGCCGCGUGCGGGAUGAAGGCCUUCGGGUUGUAAACCGCUGUCAGAGGGGAGGAAAUGCAUGGGGGCUAUCCCCUGUGUUUGACCUAUCCUCAGAGGAAGUACGGGCUAAGUUCGUGCCAGCAGCCGCGGUAACACGAACCGUACGAACGUUAUUCGGAAUCACUGGGCUUAAAGGGUGCGUAGGCGGCCUUGCAAGUUGGGUGUGAAAUCCCUCGGCUCAACCGAGGAACUGCGCUCAAAACUGCAAGGCUUGAGGGAGACAGAGGUGAGCGGAACUAAUGGUGGAGCGGUGAAAUGCGUUGAUAUCAUUAGGAACACCGGUGGCGAAGGCGGCUCACUGGGUCUCUUCUGACGCUGAGGCACGAAAGCUAGGGUAGCGAACGGGAUUAGAUACCCGCGUAGUC
rnacentral:rRNA from 1 species